UACGUAGGGUGCAGGCGUUAAUCGGAAUUACUGGGCGUAAAGCGUGCGCAGGCGGUUUGCUAAGACAGGUGUGAAAUCCCCGGGCUUAACCUGGGAACUGCGCUUGUAACUGGCAAGCUAGAGUGUGGCAGAGGGGGGUGGAAUUCCACGUGUAGCAGUGAAAUGCGUAGAUAUGUGGAGGAAUACCGAUGGCGAAGGCAGCCCCCUGGGAUAACACUGACGCUCAUGCACGAAAGCGUGGGGAGCAAACAGG
rnacentral:rRNA from 1 species